UAGGAAGACCCCAGACUUGAAGUUGGAC
rnacentral:piRNA from 1 species